rnacentral:rRNA from 1 species
UACGUAGGUGGCAAGCGUUGUCCGGAUUUAUUGGGUUUAAAGGGUGCGUAGGCGGCUUUGUAAGUCAGUGGUGAAAUAUGGCAGCUCAACUGUCAAGGUGCCAUUGAUACUGCGGAGCUUGAGUACAGAUGAGGUAGGCGGAAUUGACGGUGUAGCGGUGAAAUGCUUAGAUAUCGUCAAGAACACCUAUAGCGAAGGCAGCUUACUAGGCUGUAACUGACGCUGAGGCACGAAAGUGUGGGGAGCAAACAGG